GCCCGGGUAGCUCAGUUGGUAGAGCGUGCGGCUUUUAUAUGGACAAUUGCUUCCAUAUAGGCCACCGCAAGGCCCUGGGUUCGAGCCCCAGCUCGGGCG